rnacentral:rRNA from 1 species
UACGGAGGGGGCUAGCGUUGUUCGGAAUUACUGGGCGUAAGGCGCACGUAGGCGGCUUUGCAAGUCAGAGGUGAAAGCCCGGGGCUCAACCCCGGAAUUGCCUUUGAGACUGCAUCGCUAGAAUUGUGGAGAGGUAAGUGGAAUUCCGAGUGUAGAGGUGAAAUUCGUAGAUAUUCGGAAGAACACCAGUGGCGAAGGCGACUUACUGGACACAUAUUGACGCUGAGGUGCGAAAGCGUGGGGAGCAAACAGG